rnacentral:sRNA from 1 species
AUAAUUCCGGUCCAACAUAUUUCCGACAAAGAAAAUGCUGAAAAUUGAUAACCACGCAAGCUGGGGCGCAACAACAAUAAAUCGCAAGUGGCAAGUGGCAUGUGGCAAGCGUAGCAGUGCGCAAAUGUAAAAUGCAGCGAAUAUUCGCAUGUGCAGUGUGAUAAUAAAUAAACGCAGGGUCCAAAAAACGCGAGCGACGACGCAGGGGCAAAGCAAACACAACAACGUCGCAGCAGCGGCAGUAGCAGCGUUUUGGCGGCGGCGGCGCGAGAACACCGUUAAGCAGCAGUCCCAGUGGCCAGGAAGGAGGCAACAUCCUCAUCUAUUAGACACACGCAGCUCUUAUCAUCACACAGUGCGCAUGCGAAUAAGGGGCCACAAGUCGAAGGAACGAAGGUGAAGGAGGACCGGACCGGACAAGACCAGACUAGAGGACCAGACAAAGAGACAGA